GGUGAAGGAGAGCUUGCUCUUUGGAUCAGUGGCGAACGGGUGAGUAACACGUGAGCAAUCUGCCCCUGACUCUGGGAUAACAGUUGGAAACAGCUGCUAAUACCGGAUACGAGACGUGACCGCAUGGUCGACGUUUGGAAAGAAUUUCGGUCAGGGAUGAGCUCGCGGCCUAUCAGCUUGUUGGUGAGGUAAUGGCUCACCAAGGCGUCGACGGGUAGCCGGCCUGAGAGGGUGACCGGCCACACUGGGACUGAGACACGGCCCAGACUCCUACGGGAGGCAGCAGUGGGGAAUAUUGCACAAUGGGCGAAAGCCUGAUGCAGCAACGCCGCGUGAGGGACGACGGCCUUCGGGUUGUAAACCUCUUUUAGCAGGGAAGAAGCGAAAGUGACGGUACCUGCAGAAAAAGCGCCGGCUAACUACGUGCCAGCAGCCGCGGUAAUACGUAGGGCGCAAGCGUUAUCCGGAAUUAUUGGGCGUAAAGAGCUCGUAGGCGGUUUGUCGCGUCUGCUGUGAAAACUGGAGGCUCAACCUCCAGCCUGCAGUGGGUACGGGCAGACUAGAGUGCGGUAGGGGAGAUUGGAAUUCCUGGUGUAGCGGUGGAAUGCGCAGAUAUCAGGAGGAACACCGAUGGCGAAGGCAGAUCUCUGGGCCGUAACUGACGCUGAGGAGCGAAAGGGUGGGGAGCAAACAGGCUUAGAUACCCUGGUAGUCCACCCCGUAAACGUUGGGAACUAGUUGUGGGGUCCAUUCCACGGAUUCCGUGACGCAGCUAACGCAUUAAGUUCCCCGCCUGGGGAGUACGGCCGCAAGGCUAAAACUCAAAGGAAUUGACGGGGACCCGCACAAGCGGCGGAGCAUGCGGAUUAAUUCGAUGCAACGCGAAGAACCUUACCAAGGCUUGACAUAUACGAGAACGGGCUAGAAAUAGUCAACUCUUUGGACACUCGUAAACAGGUGGUGCAUGGUUGUCGUCAGCUCGUGUCGUGAGAUGUUGGGUUAAGUCCCGCAACGAGCGCAACCCUCGUUCUAUGUUGCCAGCACGUAAUGGUGGGAACUCAUGGGAUACUGCCGGGGUCAACUCGGAGGAAGGUGGGGAUGACGUCAAAUCAUCAUGCCCCUUAUGUCUUGGGCUUCACGCAUGCUACAAUGGCCGGUACAAAGGGCUGCAAUACCGUAAGGUGGAGCGAAUCCCAAAAAGCCGGUCCCAGUUCGGAUUGAGGUCUGCAACUCGACCUCAUGAAGUCGGAGUCGCUAGUAAUCGCAGAUCAGCAACGCUGCGGUGAAUACGUUCCCGGGUCUUGUACACACCGCCCGUCAAGUCAUGAAAGUC
rnacentral:rRNA from 1 species